rnacentral:rRNA from 1 species
UACGGAGGGUGCAAGCGUUAUCCGGAUUCACUGGGUUUAAAGGGUGCGUAGGUGGGUCUGUAAGUCCGUGGUGAAAUCUCCAAGCUUAACUUGGAAACUGCCAUGGAUACUAUAGGUCUUGAAUACCGUGGAGGUGAGCGGAAUAUGUCAUGUAGCGGUGAAAUGCUUAGAUAUGACAUAGAACACCAAGUGCGAAGGCAGCUCACUACACGAAUAUUGACACUGAGGCACGAAAGCGUGGGGAUCAAACAGG